AGUGAACGCUGGCGGUAGGCCUAACACAUGCAAGUCGAACGGCAGCACAGUAAGAGCUUGCUCUUACGGGUGGCGAGUGGCGGACGGGUGAGGAAUACAUCGGCAUCUACUUUUUCGUGGGGGAUAACGUAGGGAAACUUACGCUAAUACCGCAUACGACCUACGGGUGAAAGAAGGGGAUCUUCGGACCUUGCGCGAUUGAAUGAGCCGAUGUCGGAUUAGCUAGUUGGCGGGGUAAAGGCCCACCAAGGCGACGAUCCGUAGCUGGUCUGAGAGGAUGAUCAGCCACACUGGAACUGAGACACGGUCCAGACUCCUACGGGAGGCAGCAGUGGGGAAUAUUGGACAAUGGGCGCAAGCCUGAUCCAGCCAUACCGCGUGGGUGAAGAAGGCCUUCGGGUUGUAAAGCCCUUUUGUUGGGAAAGAAAAGCAGCAGGUUAAUACCCCGCUGUUCUGACGGUACCCAAAGAAUAAGCACCGGCUAACUUCGUG
rnacentral:rRNA from 1 species